UACGGAGGGUGCAAGCAUUAAUCGGAUUUAUUGGGCGUAAAGGGCGCGUAGGCGGGAAAGUCAGUCAGAUGUGAAAGCCCAGGGCUCAACCCUGGAACAGCAUUUGAAACUACUUUUCUAGAGGGUAGGCGGAGAAAACAGAAUUCCACGUGUAGCGGUGAAAUGCGUAGAUAUGUGGAGGAAUACCGGUGGCGAAGGCGGUUUUCUAGCUUAUUCCUGACGCUAAUGCGCGAAAGCAAGGGGAGCAAACAGG
rnacentral:rRNA from 1 species